GCCCCACACCGGGUGAGGGGGUUCCCGCAGGAAGGUAGUAAAGCCGGAUAUUGAUGUUUAAGGUUGAUGGAGUGACGUAAAAGCGGUCCACUCACAAGAUGUCCCGGCCCAGAAUGCCAG